rnacentral:rRNA from 1 species
CGCGGGAUUAGAGUUUGAUCCUGGCUCAGAGCGAACGCUGGCGGCAGGCCUAACACAUGCAAGUCGAGCGCCCGUAGCAAUACGGGAGCGGCAGACGGGAUAGUAACACGUGGGAACGCGCCCUUCGGUUCGGAAUAACUCAGGGAAACUUGAGCUAAUACCGGAUACACCCUUACGGGGAAAGAUUUAUUGCCGAAGGAACGGCCCGCGUCCGAUUAGCUAGUUGGUGAGGUAAUGGCUCACCAAGGCGACGAUCGGUAGCUGGUCUGAGAGGAUGACCAGCAUCACUGGGACUGAGACACGGCCCAGACUCCUACGGGAGGCAGCAGUGGGGAAUAUUGGACAAUGGGCGCAAGCCUGAUCCAGCCAUGCCGCGUGGAUGAUGAAGGCCUUAGGGUUGUAAAGUCCUUUUAACAGGGAAGAUAAUGACGGUACCCGUAGAAUAAGCCCCGGCUAACUUCGUGCCAGCAGCCGCGGUAAUACGAAGGGGGCUAGCGUUGCUCGGAAUUACUGGGCGUAAAGCGCACGUAGGCGGCUCUUUAAGUCGGUGGUGAAAUCCUGGAGCUCAACUCCAGAACUGCCUUCGAUACUGAGGAGCUCGAGUCCGGGAGAGGUGAGUGGAACUGCGAGUGUAGAGGUGAAAUUCGUAGAUAUUCGCAAGAACACCAGUGGCGAACGCGGCUCACUGGCCCGGUACUGACGCUGAGGUGCGAAAGCGUGUGGAGCAAACAGGAUUAGAUACCCUGGUAGUCCACGCCGUAAACGAUGAAUGCUAGCCGUUGGCGAGCUUGCUCGUCAGUGGCGCAGCUAACGCUUUAAGCAUUCCGCCUGGGGAGUACGGUCGCAAGAUUAGAACUCAAAGGAAUUGACGGGGGCCCGCA